rnacentral:rRNA from 1 species
UUGUAUGCUUUGGAAACUGUAGAACUUGAGUGCAGAAGGGGAGAGUGGAAUUCCAUGUGUAGCGGUGAAAUGCGUAGAUAUAUGGAGGAACACCGGUGGCGAAAGCGGCUCUCUGGUCUGUAACUGACGCUGAGGCUCGAAAGCGUGGGGAGCAAACAGGAUUAGAUACCGUGGUAGUCCACGCCGUAAACGAUGAGUGCUAGGUGUUAGGCCCUUUCCGGGGCUUAGUGCCGCAGAUAACGCAUUAAGCACUCCGCCUGGGGAGUACGACCGCAAGGUUGAAACUCAAAGGAAUUGACGGGGGCCCGCACAAGCGGUGGAGCAUGUGGUUUAAUUCGAAGCAACGCGAAGAACCUUACC